CCCACAUGAAGGAAUUUUGCUGGCAAUGUUGUCCUGUAGUAAACCAGGAUUGAGAGUUGAGCAACAUUUGGUUUUCAAACAGGCUCGUAGUCUCUUCAAGAGACGCCACUGUUUCGUCGAAGCAUAAAACAGGCCACUCCCGCCAAGUCCAACUGCUUCGACCACCUCGUUUCCCAUGCAGCGGUCUCUUCAGCCCAUCCGAUGUCGCCGCGCUUGCACGCACGACACUGGUUUCUUGAGGCAUUCCACCAAUUCGGUCUCCCGCCUCCCCCUCCUGCAGCCAUCGCCCACUGCUGCAUUCCCAAGAUUUGCCUUUUCGAUCAGCCUCCACUCCAAGCUUGGCCCGUGGCAGCUUCCUAAUUCCACAGUCCUUGGGCCCUCUCCCCCAAAGUGUCAUAUUUUCCCUAUAAGCUUGUGCCUUUUUUGAGUUGCAUCCAUUCAUCCACUGGGGUUGCUCAAACUAUUUCUCAUAGAAUGGCCCCAUGUUUGCUUGCUCGUCCUCUGUUCAGAUGCUUUUUGUUCACUCUUUCGCAAUUCAGUCCCAAUUUACGCCUGCAAAGUGUUCUACGAAUUGCAUAUGACAGUUUUCUUUGCUCCUACCCAUGCCCCAAAGAUGUUCGCAUCCAGGAAGAAGAAGAGAGAUAAUUAUCUCUAAGUUCACACACAGAUGGGCAUCCUUUCACUCUAAGGAAUCUCAUUUGACUAAAUAAUGUAGCUCGCCCUACCGAUAGUAAUGCUACGCGUGGUCCAAAAGCCCUUUGCUAGAUCAAAACAUAGGACGACCAGAUGAAUCCCGGUAUCAGUAUUUCGAAUUUCUUUUUUUUCAAUUACGCACUCGGGGUUCCCAUUGCUUUCGGCAUCAGACACUGUUGAACAAAUUUCAUCACUUGGUUUUCUCUGUACCCCAAGCACAGGUUAGCUAUAUUCACCCUCUAUAUUUGUUAUUUUGUUACCACGAACUUCGAGAUCAACUAAUUAGGAGGAAUUUUUCGGAAAUAACUCUGCUUGGUUUUACUCUUUUAGUAUGUUAUUUUUCGAUAAGUGUUGCAAUAUGCUAGCCCGUAUAGAAUGUGACUGUAAGUUUCAUAUCUGGAACAAUAAUUUCUCUCCCAACUUUUAUGUUCAUUAUGCUCUAAUUUUUCUCCUCCUCCCAUCACAUGAAUUUCCAUGUCCAUCUCUACUAUUCUUUUUCAAGCAAUUCAGCAUAUUGAUUCUUUAAUUUUGUUUAGAGAUUGAGAUUCCUGUUCUUGCAUUGCUCCCUAUAUGAUCAAAUUGACGUCGAUUUUUAUUGGAAAAUUUCUUAGGUCUGGAGAUAUAAGCUACCACUUUGGACAUGCCAUUGUUGCUAGCUAACAAAGCUAUGCAUUCGCUCAAUCUACUUAACAUAAAAUGUAAUGAGAUUGCAUCCACUAAUAUGAUGUUAAAAUAUUUACAGUGACAUUAUUUCCUUUUCUUUUCCUGCAUUUUAUCAUUAUUGUGUUUCAGUCUUUGUCACAACAAAAUAACUUUUGUCUUGUGUGAAUGAAGAUCAGGCACUAAUAUCGACCCCCAAAAGGCUACAAUGACCUCACCAGAACUCCACGCCAAUCCAGUUCUUUGGGGGUCAAAUAGUGUCGGACACUUUUGCAGUGUCAUGGUUCCAAGAGUUCUAAAUACAUGGAUUAUAAUCCAUUGUGUGCCUAUUAGCAGCAUCCUGCUUGAACUGAGUUAGAAUGGGACAAACUUUGUCUUUGCUAUGUGCUUGAAUUAAGAAAAAUAAUCAUCUUCUCGGAAAUCAGUAGUCUUGCUUGAAUGCUCAUCCAAUUGGAUUCCAGGUGUUUCAUAUUGUUACCUUUCAAGACAUCAAGGAAUCGUAGCCAGUUUUAGAAAGCUACUGCUCGGCCGAAAUUUAGUUUUAUCUGUGAAACCUGAUUACAGUACAAGAGCUCUCGACAUCUUCCAUUCAGUCCUAUGCUUUUCGACUUUGAAAUCAUUUACAUCCGUUUCUUUUUUUUUUUUCUAUGGUUGCUCUUACCUGCCGUCUCUUUAUCUUUCUCUUGUUUUAAUCAUUAUUACUAGAAUCCAUGUGAGUUAAUUUUCUUGGUAUAAUAUGUGCGAGUCCAUCGUUCUUGUUCACCUCCUCCAACGUUAAAUGUGAUGGCCUGAGGUGAGCUACUUUGUAUCUGUAUCUUUCAUCUGAAAAGGAAAAAGAAAGAAAACAAGCUGUGUAUAAGCUAUCUCCUUAGAUGCCAUUCAAAGUGGAAAAGAACAUCAAGAUACUCUUACAUAUGGCAUCUUCUGUUAGCAAGGAACAUGGGCUUAAGACAUGCUGAUUGAAGUUUCUACCGAAAAUCAGAAAAUUCAUUUGUUUAAACCCCUGCACACCAUCCAUUUUUAUAAUCAGCCAUCCAUAGUUGGUCUUCUCUUGCUUCAUGGUGCCUUAUAUCAUAUCCCGAACUGCAGUGUCAUCGCUUUGCCGCCAUGUUAUGAGCUUUGCUAUAUUACAGCUUUUAUAGGCGUUCACUCCAUUGGUUUUGCAUUUCGCUGUUGGUUGUUUGUGUUUUGCUUUUGGUAUGUGCUUGCCUAUUACAUGUUUCGCCACCCAACCCCCCCAACCAAAAUAUCCUGCUUUUGUGGCUUGUGCCUCUUCUCGUCCCUGCAGAGUGUCUUUACUUCUAUGUUGUUGUAGUUUUCAUUGCCAGUUGGCCUAAUCGUGUGCCUUUUGGUUUUGCAAUAUAUAUUUUUUAAGAGUCUUCUACUCAGGCUGUUACUUGUAUUCCAUUCUCCCUCUCUAAUUAUUUUGUAUGCUGGCAUGUAUACGUUAGUUUUCAAUCUACUCUAUAAUUUACUUAUUUUUCACGUGUCUUCUUUAUUUAUGCCUUCUAAGAGAAAGAAAAAACUCGCACCUGCAUGAUUUCAAUUGAUAUGCUCGAUUUACACUUGAAGAAAAGAGGAGCAGAGUGGUUGUUAACAAAGACCAACGGCAAAGGCCCGUGUAAUUGCUGUUGGCAGAGGCUUUGCCGCGGUCACUUUCCGUCAUUGCCAGUUACUCCUCUUCUCAUCCGCUAGCAACCCUGGUACACUCUGUUGUGCCUUUUCUUUUUCCCUAUGACUUUUGUCCUAAAUUUUACAGUAUACUUGCUCUUUUUUUUUGUUUUUUUUUUUUGAAAUAUAAAUAGAGAUCCGGGUUCUAUUUUGAUGUCUAUGCCACUGUAGCUCCUGUCUAACGUGGGAUUUUGCUUCUCCACGUCUUUCUUUAAUCUUUUCUCUGUUCAAUUUGUCUUGUACUUGCUCUCUCCUAGAAUUCAAAUGGUCCUGAGUAUUAUGUUUUGCUAUUGUACGCAGAAAUCAUCACGCCACUGCCAUCUUUCAUUCUUUACACUGUGCUCUGAUCCUUACAGAUACAUUUUCUUAAUGCAUGCCAUAUUGCUUUAUAAAAUAUAUGACCUUCCUACCUUAGAUUUCCUCCUUUGAAUCUAAACUCCCAUCGGCCUCUUUAGGUUGUCCUUGUGCAUGCCAUUUGUAGGGCUGCCAUGAACUUAUGUCUCACCUUGUUUCAGUUACAUCAUUUAGCUUUUGGCUCUGUUUUGCGUUGUGUACAUAGUAUACCUGAAGCUUCCCUUCGUUCCCCUAUGCUUUAAUAUUAGCUACUUGUAUUACAAGCCAGGUUUUAUUCCCGAGUCUUGGCAUGUUCCUCUCUUACCUGUUUUCUUCGGUUAGCUAGAGGCAGAACUCUAGCUAAAGGAUUUCUUCCCCCCCACCCCCCUAUCAACCCUUCAGAUCUGUUAAGGUGUCCGAUAGAUUAGAUUAGCUAGAUGUUAUGCAUAGUUAUUAUUAGUGGGUCCAGGUUUGAUAGAAGUGCAUGAUAGACUGUUUGAAGGUCUGUCGACUGCACGAAUGAAGGAUUCUGUCUGUAAAUUUCAUGCUUUAUGCUGGAUUGCCUGAGUUCCUCAGUGCAUGUUUCAAGCACCCCCUUUUCAGCCUUAUGCAUCUGCAACAUCACCACGUUUUUAGGCAGAUUAUCUUUUAUAGUUUACCAAGAUAUUUCAUAACCAUAGGUGCAACUAAUCUCCGGCUUAGCAAAACAUUUGUGUCUUACUUUUUAUAUCUGUUUCCUGAUUUGCUGGUUAGAUUAUUAAGAAUAAAGAUCUCAAUGAGCGAAGGGAGCUGGACUUUGGUAUAUUUUGGGUAUAUUUUGGAUCUGUAAAUUAUGGAAUAAUAGAAGGCAACUCAUGUUUUUGUGAAAUGAUCAAACGAAUAAAAAAAGAAUUGCUGAAAAAGACACAAUCUCGCCUGAUAAUCUAAAAAGUUCCAAGUUCUUCGAUUCUCAUCAUUGAAACUGAUAAUCUAAAAAGUUCCAAGUUCUUCGAUUCUCAUCAUUGAAACUUCUUCGAUUCUCAUCAUUGAAACUGUAUGUGCCAUUUAUAUAGAUUUCCUUUCAAUUUCCUUGUAUUAAAUUAUGAAUCUCCCAUUAUUAUGAGUCUCUCGUAAUAUUAAAGAAAAAAGCUGCUAACCGAGGAUAUAAUAUCCAACAUUCAUACACAGUAUGGCAAGGCAAGCGUUUGCCUACUAGUAAUAUAAAACAUUAGAAAGUCGUUUUCAGUAAUCGAAUGUGAAUUAUUGGACAUGUCAAUUUGAUGUAAUCCCAUCUGAUACUUCGUAUCAGAAAAUCAACUAACCGAGGGUAUAAAUAAAUAUAUUUCUUUUCGGUAGAAGAGGAAAUAAAUAUUUAUAAAUAAAUAAAAAGUCCCAUCCGCUAUAUUUGAACUACAACUGAGGACGCAGUAAAAGAUUUGUAAAGAUAAACUUCCCCUGCAGCAAGAACAAAUCUUUUAAAUUAACAAAAUUAAGAACAUUUUCAUACUCAACUUGAAACAAUACCAAAAGGGGAAAAAAAAUACUAAGAAGUUUUUAAACAGCGUCAGUGCAAGAGUCCGCCAGGAACAAUCAGAGGCCCAAAACAGGAGCACAAAAUAAAACUUACACGCAA